GCGCUUGUAGUCUAAUGGUUAGGAUAAUUGCCUUUCAAGCAAUAGGCCCCUGGUUCGACUCACGGCAAGCGAC
rnacentral:tRNA from 1 species